rnacentral:rRNA from 2 species
GUGGCGGACGGGUGAGUAAUGUCUGGGAAACUGCCUGAUGGAGGGGGAUAACUACUGGAAACGGUGGCUAAUACCGCAUAACGUCGCAAGACCAAAGAGGGGGACCUUCGGGCCUCUUGCCAUCAGAUGUGCCCAGAUGGGAUUAGCUUGUUGGUGAGGUAACGGCUCACCAAGGCGACGAUCCCUAGCUGGUCUGAGAGGAUGACCAGCCACACUGGAACUGAGACACGGUCCAGACUCCUACGGGAGGCAGCAGUGGGGAAUAUUGCACAAUGGGCGCAAGCCUGAUGCAGCCAUGCCGCGUGUAUGAAGAAGGCCUUCGGGUUGUAAAGUACUUUCAGCGGGGAGGAAGGUGUUGUGGUUAAUAACCGCAGCAAUUGACGUUACCCGCAGAAGAAGCACCGGCUAACUCCGUGCCAGCAGCCGCGGUAAUACGGAGGGUGCAAGCGUUAAUCGGAAUUACUGGGCGUAAAGCGCACGCAGGCGGUCUGUCAAGUCGGAUGUGAAAUCCCCGGGCUCAACCUGGGAACUGCAUUCGAAACUGGCAGGCUUGAGUCUUGUAGAGGGGGGUAGAAUUCCAGGUGUAGCGGUGAAAUGCGUAGAGAUCUGGAGGAAUACCGGUGGCGAAGGCGGCCCCCUGGACAAAGACUGACGCUCAGGUGCGAAAGCGUGGGGAGCAAACAGGAUUAGAUACCCUGGUAGUCCACGCCGUAAACGAUGUCUACUUGGAGGUUGUGCCCUUGAGGCGUGGCUUCCGGAGCUAACGCGUUAAGUAGACCGCCUGGGGAGUACGGCCGCAAGGUUAAAACUCAAAUGAAUUGACGGGGGCCCGCACAAGCGGUGGAGCAUGUGGUUUAAUUCGAUGCAACGCGAAGAACCUUACCUGGUCUUGACAUCCACAGAAGAAUCCAGAGAUGGAUUUGUGCCUUCGGGAACUGUGAGACAGGUGCUGCAUGGCUGUCGUCAGCUCGUGUUGUGAAAUGUUGGGUUAAGUCCCGCAACGAGCGCAACCCUUAUCCUUUGUUGCCAGCGGUUAGGCCGGGAACUCAAAGGAGACUGCCAGUGAUAAACUGGAGGAAGGUGGGGAUGACGUCAAGUCAUCAUGGCCCUUACGACCAGGGCUACACACGUGCUACAAUGGCGCAUACAAAGAGAAGCGACCUCGCGAGAGCAAGCGGACCUCAUAAAGUGCGUCGUAGUCCGGAUUGGAGUCUGCAACUCGACUCCAUGAAGUCGGAAUCGCUAGUAAUCGUGGAUCAGAAUGCCACGGUGAAUACGUUCCCGGGCCUUGUACACACCGCCCGUCACACCAUGGGAGUGGGUUGCAAAAGAAGUAGGUAGCUUAACCUUCGGGAGGGCGCUUACCACUUUGUGAUUCAUGACUGGGGUGAAGUCGUAACAAGGUAACCGUAGGGGAACCUGCGGUUGGAUCACCUCCUUACCUUAAAGAA